GUGCGGUAUCUACUGCAUGAAGUAUGCUAGGGAUCUCAUUUCACAACAAAGAACCAGAGCAUAUCUAUCGAAUAAUUUCAAUUCAGAUUUACCAUAUACUGACGCAGAACUUAAUGAAGUUCAAGAAGAGUGGGCAAAAUAUAUUCUACCGCAACUCGCUAAAUGAUGGCAUGCUUGCUUAGUACCUAUGUGAGGGGAUUUAAUCAUUUUUUGAACUUUUUAUUUCUUUUAUUAGAAAUUGUUAGAACUAAUCAAAUACAGAAUCAAUCUAACAAAUUAUAUGUAGUUAAUUUAGCUUUUUGAGGUGUAUACUGUGCUAAAUAUUCAUUUUAUGACAAACUUUUUUGGAACUA